UACGGAGGAUGCGAGCGUUAUCCGGAAUUAUUGGGCGUAAAGAGCUCGUAGGCGGUUUGUCACGUCUGCUGUGAAAGCCCGGGGCUUAACCCUGGGUUUGCAGUGGGUACGGGCAGGCUGGAGUGCAGUAGGGGAGACUGGAAUUCCUGGUGUAGCGGUGAAAUGCGCAGAUAUCAGGAGGAACACCGAUGGCGAAGGCAGGUCUCUGGGCUGUUACUGACGCUGAGGAGCGAAAGCAUGGGGAGCGAACA
rnacentral:rRNA from 1 species